UCGGGGUGCAGCAGGCGCGAAACCUCUGCAAUAGGCGAAAGCUUGACAGGGUUACUCUGAGUGAUUUCCGUUAAGGAGAUCUUUUGGCACCUCUAAAAAUGGUGCAGAAUAAGGGGUGGGCAAGUCUGGUGUCAGCCGCCGCGGUAAUACCAGCACCCCGAGUGGUCGGGACGUUUAUUGGGCCUAAAGCAUCCGUAGCCGGUUCUACAAGUCUUCCGUUAAAUCCACCUGCUCAACAGAUGGGCUGCGGAAGAUACUAUGGAGCUAGGAGGCGGGAGAGGCAAGCGGUACUCGAUGGGUAGGGGUAAAAUCCGUUAAUCCAUUGAAGACCACCAGUGGCGAAGGCGGCUUGCCAGAACGCGCUCGACGGUGAGGGAUGAAAGCUGGGGGAGCAAACCGGAUUAGAUACCCGGGUAGUCCCAGCUGUAAACGAUGCAGACUCGGCGAUGAGUUGGCUUUAUGCCAACUCAGUGCCGCAGGGAAGCCGUUAAGUUUGCCGCCCGGGGAGUACGGCCGCAAGACUGAAACUUAAAGGAAUUGGCGGGGGAGCACCACAAGGGGUGAAGCCUGCGGUUCAAUUGGAGUCAACGCCGGAAAUCUUACCGGGGGCGACAGCAGAAUGAAGGUCAAGCUGAAGACUUUACCAGACAAGCUGAGAGGAGGUGCAUGGCCGUCGCCAGCUCGUGCCGUGAGGUGUCCUGUCAAGUCAGGUAACGAGCGAGACCC
rnacentral:rRNA from 1 species